UAAAUGUUAGAAGCAGGGAAAGUUAAAUUGAAAGAGUUCGAAACUGACCGAGAACAGCGGUAGCUCCUAGGAGGGUAUCAGCUCCGGCGUACUUGCAAGACUUGCAAUAAACGACGCCUUGAACUUCAACAAGGCUCCUAGGGAAACGAUGGGUGGGUGUGGGUGGGUGAGCAGGAGCAACGUGCGGUGGAGGUGGGUGAGCAGGAGCAACGUGUGGUGGAGGUGGGUGAGCAGGAGCAACGUGUGGUGGAGGUGGGUGGGCAGGAGCAACGUGUGAAGGUGGGUGAGCAGGUGCAUGAGCGGGAGUGUGAGCCGGUGCAUGAGCCGGCGGGUGGGGGUGGUGGUGAUGAUGGUGGUGGCUUGGGGCGUGAGCCGGUGGGGCAGUAGGAGGGUGGCUGUGGUGGUGGUGGUGGUGGUGAUGGUGGGGGCUUGGUGCCGUUGCCGGGGUUACCGAGUGGUAGUGUGAUGGUGGCAUAGCCAUGGAACUCUCAGUGUAAACCUGUUCACCAUACACAGUGAAGCUGCAGCCGGCUAAGACCAAACAAACAUGAACAACAAUCAGUAAAGCUUUACCCAUUUUGUUUUGUUUUUUUUUUUCAGUCUUCUUUUAUCUCUAGUAAAGAAGAUGGCCAGCCAACUAGGGGGAGGGUGAGAGAGUGAGAGAGAUCGAGAGAGGUGGUGAAAACGAUCUCCGAUUGGGGGAAUUUAUAGGGGUUUUAACCCGUGAUUCUCUGCGGUUUUUUGUGAUAAAAUUUUUAUUUUAUAAUAUGGUGGUGGGGCUAUUAUUAUGCAUUAUGCUGUGAGGUGGACACAAACAUAAUGCAAAAGAAGAGAGAUAAUGAGAUAAUGCAAGAUUGAUUCGUUAAUUUGUUUUAGCGUUUGGUUGAGGCCCAAAUAAAAUUUGUUGAAUUUUUUUUUUAAUUUUAAAUCUAAUAUUAAAGUCUAAUGAUAUUCAUAAUACUGAUAUUCAAUGUCAAAUGUGUAGACAACUUCUAACAUCUCAAAUUGACUCCCAUAAUGUGUGUGUAUAUUAUUCAAGGAGACUUAAAAGGUCAUUCCACAUGUGUUGUGUGUAGAAAAAGAGUGACUAAUGAGUAGGGAUGGUAAAUUAAUCCGGACCAGGAUUGGACCCGGAUAAUCCGGUCCGGGUUUAACCCGUACCGGAAGGUAAUACAAUGCGGAUCCGAAAAGGAUAUUUUGAACCCGGAUAUAUUCCGGUCCGGAUCCGGUUUAUCUUAACCCGGAUGUCCGAAACCCGGACCCGAAUAAUUUAAUUAUAAAAGAAAAAAAAAAACCUAAUGCCUUAAGUCUUAACCUACUGCAGCCGCUUCUUUCUUCUCCAAUUUCUCUUUCUUUCUCCUCCAUCUUCUCUUUUCAUUAAAACAAACCCACUGCAGCUGCUUUCUUUCUUCUCCAAUUUCUCUUUCAUUCACUCAAAUGACUUGGAAAAAUCUUUGUAUUGAAAGGAAGACAAAGAGGAAUGCACCCAUUAAGGCUUAUACUCAUUUUUUGUCACUCUUGCUGGUUUUUGACAGCUACUUUCCGCCACUCUUGCUGAUUUUUUGUCACCAGAAAUUGCCGAAUCUCCACAGCAACUUUUUGACGAUGCUCUCCUCGACGCCGACGACAACACCAAUGCCACCAAAAAUCUGAAAACUCAGCAAUCCUCCCUCAACAUUCAUUUAGCUAUGGUUUCAGGAUUUUGGUGAUUUGAGAUUUGGAGAUUUGAGGAAGUAACAUCAAGAGAAAAAAAAAAAUUGUAAUAGAUAUGCGGGUUUAGAACCUGCAAUCCAAAAAUUUGACUUUUUCUGGGUUCAAUCCGAUUCGGACCUACAAUAAAAAUAUCCAGAUUAUAUCCAGAUCCGGUAUAACAAAAUUAUCAUUCGGAUUCAGAAUCGAAAAGACUGGACUCGAACCCGGAUCCAGAUUUUGCCAUCCCUAAUAAUGAGUGGGUUCCAUACGUUAUUUUACUUACUAGGGAAAAAUUAUACCGGUGGAGGAUUUUAAAAGGAUAAUUAGGAAUACAAGGUGAUUAAAUCCCAAGAGAUCGUUGUAAACAAGUGGCUCAGAGAUUCACAUGCAGAGGUGAGACCGUGCGAGUGGGCUCCGGAAUUUUGGCACAUGUAGCGAGGCAAUGUAGAAGUUUCCGAUGUUUCUUUGGUUACUGAACCUCUCGUCUUUAUUUUUUUAAAAUUAAAUUAAAUAGUACGUUGAUUCUUUGGUUUGGGAAAUUAAUGAUAUUUACUAAAACUCUUGGUAAAUGGUAAAUAAGAUGAAUGAUUGGUAUGGGCCCAACCAAAAAGUAAUGGCAAGUGAUAAAAUUUCGAGCUCUUUGUGGAUAAAGAAAGAAUAUUGUACGUUACAAUAAUUUUUGACGUUGAAGUUCCUGUGUUUCACAAGAAAAGUGAAAAUAAAAUAAAGCAACCUUAAUUUCCUCCGUUAUUAAAAAUAUUAUAAUAUUUUAAAAAUAUAUUAAUUAUUUAUUUUAAAUUAAUAAAAUAUAUUUAUUAUCUAUUAAAUUAUUAAUUAACGUUGAAAGAUAAUGACAUUAGAAGGGUAAUUUAAUAUUUUCACACGAUAUAAAAAAUAAUAAAAGAAUUUAAGAAUAUAAAAAUGAUAAUUUAAAAGUACGUAAGUGAUAAUAAGAUAAUUUAAGAGUAUAUAAAUAAUAAUUUUUUUAUUUUAAUUUAAAUUUCAAAAAUAAAAUAUCAAUUCGCUGUAUUAACUUUCAGAUGGUAACUAAUGAUUUAGUUAUUAGUAUAUAUAUUUUGUCAACUUAAAAUGAACGAUUAAUAUUAUUUUUUACAACAAAACAAAUAUAAGGUAUAAAAUGAUAAUUUCCCUAACAUAAAUAAAGAAAUGAAACACUAUUUUCGCUUUUGCCACUUUCGUUUUCGGUUUCGAAUUAUCGUCGGAGUCUAGAAACUAGGUUGUGUAUUUAUUAUAUGUGCUCUGUUUUUAUUUGUUUAUCUUUUCUCUGUUCUGACACCUUAGAAAACUUAAUCAGAAAACGACAUGGCAAGGAGAAAAGAAAAUAUUAUACUAGGGUUAUUGAUAUUAAAUCAGAGCUAGAAUUAGCCUUAGGGUUCCUUCUUUUAAACCCUAAAAAUUGAAAACUCAAGUUUAUUAUUUAUCGUAAUAUAAUUAAAUUCCGACAAAGUUAAAUAAUGGGUUCAUUUGAUGGGUAAGUCGUGUAAAAUUUAUCAAUCGUUUUUCGCGUAAAAUUAAUAGUAGAAAUUUCCAAAUCUAAGCGAAUGUCAAAUUUGGUCCAACGCAUGAAAUAAAUUAAAACUCUGGAGAUGAUAACUUUCUAGAUAAUGUAAUUGAGCUUUUUAUAUAUGGAACUGCAAAUGUAAUUCCUCUGUCCCGCAUUUCGGUCCUUUUAUAGAAGGUUAGAUAUUAUAUUUUGAUGAACUAUUAUUUGAACUAAUUAAAUAAUGAUCGCUCCUUGCACAUAUCCACUGGGAUGCGUUUCAAGAGACAGAAUGAUAUCUGCUGUACCGUACAUCCGCCUUGGCCGUACAGCAGAUUAAUAAAAUAUAUUUAUUAUCUAUUAAAUUAUUAAUUAACGUUGAAAGAUAAUGACAUUAGAAGGGUAAUUUAAUAUUUUCACACGAUAUAAAAAAUAAUAAAAGAAUUUAAGAAUAUAAAAAUGAUAAUUUAAAAGUACGUAAGUGAUAAUAAGAUAAUUUAAGAGUAUAUAAAUAAUAAUUUUUUUAUUUUAAUUUAAAUUUCAAAAAUAAAAUAUCAAUUCGCUGUAUUAACUUUCAGAUGGUAACUAAUGAUUUAGUUAUUAGUAUAUAUAUUUUGUCAACUUAAAAUGAACGAUUAAUAUUAUUUUUUACAACAAAACAAAUAUAAGGUAUAAAAUGAUAAUUUCCCUAACAUAAAUAAAGAAAUGAAACACUAUUUUCGCUUUUGCCACUUUCGUUUUCGGUUUCGAAUUAUCGUCGGAGUCUAGAAACUAGGUUGUGUAUUUAUUAUAUGUGCUCUGUUUUUAUUUGUUUAUCUUUUCUCUGUUCUGACACCUUAGAAAACUUAAUCAGAAAACGACAUGGCAAGGAGAAAAGAAAAUAUUAUACUAGGGUUAUUGAUAUUAAAUCAGAGCUAGAAUUAGCCUUAGGGUUCCUUCUUUUAAACCCUAAAAAUUGAAAACUCAAGUUUAUUAUUUAUCGUAAUAUAAUUAAAUUCCGACAAAGUUAAAUAAUGGGUUCAUUUGAUGGGUAAGUCGUGUAAAAUUUAUCAAUCAUUUUUCGCGUAAAAUUAAUAGUAGAAAUUUCCAAAUCUAAGCGAAUGUCAAAUUUGGUCCAACGCAUGAAAUAAAUUAAAACUCUGGAGAUGAUAACUUUCUAGAUAAUGUAAUUGAUUGUCCAAGUGAUUGAGCUUUUUAUAUAUGGAACUGCAAAUGUAAUUCCUCUGUCCCGCAUUUCGGUCCUUUUAUAGAAGGUUAGAUAUUAUAUUUUGAUGAACUAUUAUUUGAACUAAUUAAAUAAUGAUAUAAUUUUUAUUAUUUUAAUCGAGAUAUAAAUUAAAUAUUCUAAUUAAGCAAAUAUAGUAUUAUUUUUAUGUUUUCAUUGGCUUGAUUCUUGACCAAAUCAUCUUUCAGUACGCAUCCCUCAGUUGAUUACUGACAUGGCAUUAACCCUUCCCUGGUUGAGACGCAAGUAACAGGUACCUACUGGCGAUCGAGGUCGGUUGAAUUAUUUGAUGCAGUACAUCAUAAAAUUUUUUUACUAAAUUUGGUAUAGAUUAUAUCACAUUAACAUAAUUUUUUUAAUAAAAAUUUACUAAUGGUAUAUAAUUAAUAAUUCUUAAUUGACAUUUCUCUCUCCUACUUGUUUGCUUAUCCUUCCACCAUUUUUAUUUUAUUUUUUUCAUUUAUCUCUUACUUUGUGUUUUGUUUCAGCUUCUCAUAAACUCUUUCACUCCCAAUCUAUAAACAAAUAUUUUCAUGCAUUUGUCAUAGAAUUCCAGUUAAAUCAUAUAUUUUUGGUCCAACAGUACUUAUCGGAAAAAAAAUUAUUUCAACAAAAAAUCAUUGAUUUUUAUUUAAGCCCACAUUAAUUGAUCCACAUUUCCACACACAAGUAAAAUUAUACAACCUCGCAUACAAAAUGCAGCUUUUAAAGUUCAGAAGUUUCACUAUGCUCUGAUUUUACAAUCAUAAAGAUUGCAAAUAAUAUUUUUUUUUUAAUCAAAAAGGCAUAAAUGACAAAGCUUUUAUUAUAAUGAUCGGCCGAUGAAUCGCAUGUGCCAGAAGAGCCGAAGACAAACCCAGUAAAGCAGAAAAAACAAAAAAGUAUUAACUCAUAGGACAAGUUUAAUUAAUAAAAAUUAAUUAUAUUGAGUAAGAAAUAAGGAUCACUUAAAUUUUAUUUCUUCUUGUGUUUGGGGUAAAAGGAUUAUAUAUAGCUUUACUGAUGUAAUCAUCAUCAGGUAUGUGUAAUUUAUGAAGCUGCGUCCAUAACCGGAUCCACCAAGAAGUCACAUUUAAAUCGAACAGCUGUUUUUGUAUUCAAUCGAGAGAUUAUACAUUAGGCUUAGGGUUGCAGCACCUCAAUGGCGAGCUGAAAAUAAUAAAUUGUUGUUGACUUAGAAAUAUAAAAUGAAUUAGAAUGAUCGAGAUAAUCGGAUAUAACAGAUCAUAUUAUAAUAAAUACGAUCUGAUCCGAUGUAAUGGAGUUCGAUAAUAUCAAUACCGAUUGUGCGUAUAAGCCAAUAGCAGUUCUUGAUUUCUUGUAUUGUAUGAUUGUGUUGUAUCCAUUCGAUUCAAGCAUAAAAUAUAAAAAAUGAGACGGGUAUGAGUUGAGCAGUGCUGCAAAAGAAAAGAUGAUCGCCCACUCAGCCGCUUGGCAGUUUGCAUGCAGUCCAUGAGCAGCCAUUUUUCAUUCAGCUGCUCACCGUCCUUGGUCCUUAUUCCUAAUAUUUAUUACCCUAUCAACUAACUCUCUUGUAAUUUUUUUUUUUUUUUACAACAUCAAUGAUAUAAGUAACAUGUACUGUUGAAUCUAAUCAGCUGUACAAAUUAUUUCUAUUAAUAAUUUUUUUAAAAUAAUAGAACUAGUUAACAAUCGGUUCAAAAUGUGAUUUGAAAUUUAAAAAAAAAAGUAAAAAGAGAUAUGAUAAAAAUAAUAAUAUCUCGGGUUCUUUUAUUUAAAAUUAAACAAGUAUUACUUAUUUUAUAGCAUUUUGAUGUCGAAACAUAUGAACCGCUUUGAUUAUUUUAAUUGAUUUGAUAGUUAAUCCUUGUGACUUUGAGUCCUAUUAUCAAAUUGGGUUACUUUAAAAAAAAAAUGAAAGAGAAAGUGGUUGUGCAAGGGUUUAUCAAUGAUUAUUUUUUAGGUACUUAAACUUAUAUCUAAGGCUGAACCUUAUCUAAACUACUUGCUUUUGGUCGCCCGAGCACAGCCUGCCAACAAUUAUGGCGGUUGAAUUUGAAUGGAAGACUAGUAUUCUUUCCAAGCAGUGGACCUAAGAAAGGGCGAAGCAAGUGACUUUUACAAUUACUUUGCUUCUUCUGUUCAUUAAAAUACACUUUGCAUUUGACGUGUGGUUAUUUCAAGAUGAUUUGGUACCAAAACUUAUUUUUAAGUUAUGCCAAUUAAAUUCAAAAUAGCAAUAUUUAAUUGUUUUCAUUAUACCCCGGAAAUUCUUCUUUUGUUAAAUUAAAAUUAUGCAUAAUUUGAUUCUAUAAGAAUGUAGCCCGUAUAAUGGUCGACUUUUACCUAUCUAAUUCUUUGAAAUAUUUUAUAUUUGUAUGAAUAAUAUGAUCUUCCAGGGACUUUUAGUCGCUCAUGUGCUUUAUUUUGUUAUCCCUCGUAUAUUCUUUGGUUUCAUGAUUGUUGAUUUCAUGUAGAAGAUUUAUUUAUAUUUGUACAGGAAAGAUAGUUUUACUUUUCAAAUUAUCACAGGAGACUCUCUGCUUGUUAUUGACUUAUUAUUUCAUCAAUUGUGCUAGAUGAAGGAAAUGGAGUUCAAGAAGUUGUUCGAUACACAAAAUAUUGCUGCCUUGCUGCCUUUCGUAUUAAGAGGAAUCCGAUUCAGUGUGUUCUCCUUCCUCACUGCUCGUUGCCAGCUCUUGAAGUGCACCCAACAUUUACCGUACGAAAAGCGGUCUGCUGUACCGUACAUCCGCCUUGGCCGUACAGCAGAAUAAAAAUGAAAAUGAAAAUGGUGUUUUGCAAUUGCUGUAUUUCGAAUUUCAAUAUGUGUCUAGUAUCAUUUUCUGUAUCCUGUAUUUUAAAACUAAAAACUAAAAACAGUAAUAUGCGUUUGGUAGACACAGUUGAAAAUUAGGGGUGGGCAAUAGUCGGUUCGGCCGAGCCGAGCCGAACCGAACCAAAACCAAUCGGUUCUUUAGAAGAUGAACCGAAUAGGGACCGAAUUUAGGAACCGAACCGAACCGAACCGAAAUAUUUCGGUUCGGUUCGGUUCGGUUCCUAAAUUCGGUCCCUAUUCGGUUCAUCUUCUAAAGAACCGAUUGGUUUUGGUUCGGUUCGGCUCGGCUCGGCCGAACCGACUAUUGCCCACCCCUAAUUUUCAACUGUGUCUACCAAACGCAACUACGCACAGGAUCCUUCAACAACGUUCUUCCAAAGAUUGGUGUAGGUAACAAGUUCUGUGCUGCCACCCAACUUCGAAAAACUUCCCACACACACAUUCCCCCACACACACCCACACCCACACCUAGUAGCCCUGCUGUACGGCCAAGGCGGAUGUACGGUACAGCAGAUGACACACACACACACACACACAUAUAUAUAAAUCGGUCUCAAGUUAGUCUUGACUGUAAAAUCCAUUUUGUGGCGAAGUGCAAAGUAUGACAAGAGAUGACAAGGCAAAAGCAGCCAGCCAAUAUAACAAGAUAAUAAAUAAUAGUAUCACCACCAAUCUAGCGAGUUCACUUCGUUUAUCCUUAAUGAAGUCAAGCAUGACAAUGCCAAAAGAUAGUCAAUCAUAAUUAAAAUUCAAAACAAGUGAAAAAAAAUCAUCAUAAAACCUUGAAAAUCAUUGUAGACAAGGUUCCAUUAUCCAUAGCAACAAAAGUCAUGGCAACUAAUUAUAACCACUGAUCUCCAAAGGGCACCAUACACUAUCAUAAUUGAAGUAUUCUGCUGCUUGACUUACAACAUCAAGAACAUCAGGUCAAAAAGGGCCAGAAUCCUUUCAGCUUGUUAGUCUGCUACUGUCAUGAUGCAAACCACUCACUGGCAGGCAUCUGUUUUUAGAAAAAAAAAGACUUCGACCUGUAAUCAUCAAAUCGUAAUUUAGCAAUCAGCAAUUCAAAUCCGCUACAGGGUUGAGCAACCUUUUGCAAAUCAAAAAGUUUGCACUAAUUCACAUAAUACAACUAAUACUAAAAUGAAUCUAAAACUCAGAUCAGGAAGUGGUCAAAGCCAUUAAAGGAAUGGUCAGAGUGUAACAAGCUACCAGGUGUUAACAAUGGAGGGAAGUGGUACAGUGUGCUUGAAUAUGCAAAAACAAUCAGAGUCUACCAACUGCAAUGAACUGGAUGCAGUAGGAAAUGCAUUAGUUGCCACCGUUAAGAAGAUAACCGUUGCCCACAGACAACAACAGUGUUGGAUACAUCCUAAGAAGAAACAGGGUACCUUCACUUUAUCUCUUUUAAGAAGAUUAAACAGUUCAAUAUGGAGGUAUAACAGAAACAGUGGACUACACUGAAGAAGAUAUUCGAUUGAAAAUUAAGGAGUUGAUUAAAUCUUUAAGAUACUGAGACAGCAUAGUUUUUUAUGAAUGGAAACAAAAUAGUAGCCAUGUUGCAAGUUACAAAUUCAGCCUGGAAGCAGAAUUUUUUUUUGCGACAAGGAUGGCAUGAAGAUGACCGGCGUCGCACGAGCUUUCAAUCGGUACCAACCUUGGUCGGAGGAGUGGCCGGAAACGGAGACAAAAUCCGAGUUGGGUUCGUGGGUAUUGUGAUAAAGAGAGGGGUAUUGUGAUGUAUGUGCAAUAUAGAAUAAAAAUGUGUAAAUAGUAAAUAGUUUAAGGUGCUAAGUAAAAUGUUCAUAUGGAUGCAGUAGAAAUUAACUUAAUAUUUAUAAAGUAAAGAUUAAAUAAAAUUGAGUAAAAUGGGUUCUAUAAAAAUUUACAAUUGUGCUGACAAAAAGACAAAAAUAGUGGUACGGUACCACUGUGGUACCGUAGCUUGAUCCUCCUUAAAGUUUGAAUUAAUGAUAGAAUUACACAAAUAUUUUACUUUAGUGGGCUUAUUGAUGACAUGCGUAUCAUUUUUGUCAAUUUAUAGUUGUAAAUUUAUAUUUUUAAAAUGUAUUUUAAUCAUCAUUCCUACUUACCUCACAAAGUUGCUUUGUUUUCCCAAAAAAAGAAAAAGAAAAAAACCGUUUGAAAUAUUUUUUACGUGAUGCAUAAUUAUUGUGAGAAAAUAUAUACGAUGUUUGGGUGUUGUUUUACCAAUUUUCUAUCUAAAUAUGCAUAUGAAUAAACAUGUGAUUGACUUGUAAAAAUAAUGUGGUACUUUAAAUGUACAAAAUCGAUUAUGGAAUGCAAUUUAAUAUGCUCUAUAUUACUUUGAAGUUGGACACCGCGGUUAACUAACUACAAUAUGCACUAAAAAGGUGCUAUUGAAAUGAAUAUGUGAUUUUAAUCAUUUUAAAAUCUGAAAUUUGUGAUCUAAAACAUUUCGGGCAGAUGUUUAAUCGCAGCAGUUAUCUUUCACAAAUUAAAAAUUUUUACAUCAAAUUUUUUAGAGUAAUGAUACAGCCACAAACUCUUGUACAAACUUAUUUUGUACAAACUGACGUGGCAUGAUAAGAUUGGUUGAAUGAAAAUAUAAAUUAAUAAAAACAAAUCAUGUGGGCCAAGUGAUAUUUAAUUCAACCAAUCUUAUCAUGCCACAUCAGUUUGUACAAAAUAAAUUUGUACAAGAGUUUGUGGCUGUAUCAUUACUCAAUUUUUUAUUUUAUUUUAAGUGGUCGUCAAUUUAUCUUCCAUUCCUAGUUUUUUUUUUAAAUACCGAUAAUACACCAGAUUAUUGAAUUACAUUAGAUAUUUACAAUUGUUAUUACAAUAGAUAAUUAUAUUGAUAUUUAUAAUCAGACAUAUAAUUGGAGGUAUUAAAGUACCUUGUCCAGAUAAAUAACCCUCACAAACGAAGAAUAUUUCUACUCCAUUCUUAUUUCAUAAGGAAAAGAACUUACAAAUAAAUCUACACAAUUAUACAUAAUUCUUAAUUCUCAUUACCCUCAUUAUCUGUGAGGGUAAUGAGGGUAAAAGUUCACCGGUCCAGUGCUAUGCUAGUUAAGUGAUUGUGAUCUAACCAUUCGGGAAAUCUCAAUAGACCUUGUAUUUCGGUCGUUUUACAUUUUCCAUGACCAAUGGGCCAGCGCCACAAAAUAAAUUAAGAUUUAAAAUAACUAACAUAAAUGAUUAUUUAAUUUAAUAAUACUAGGGGAAAAAAAAGAGAGUAAACAAAUUCCAAGGACUUGACUUUUCUUUUUGAACAGUAUGCCAGGAAAAAAGUAACAAUUGCUAUGUCUCUCAUGUUUGCCACAAGGCAGACCACUCAAUUAGUUUCAUUACUUCCCUUUUUCUUGGUUUUGAUUAAAUAUAUAUAUAAUUACCAUUUAAUUUUAGAUCCGCCGUAAAAUUUUAUAACAUGGGUACAUUUAUGAUGACAAAAACAUUAAAAAAGAGGAAAAAAAACAUGAUCCAUAGCAUAUGCAUUUAUAAAUAUAAUUCAUAUUCAAACAAUGAGCCUCAUAAUUUAUUUGUUGCUAAUUAAACUAGCGGGAUACUAUAAUUUAUUAAUGCCAACGAAGCGACACAGUACAAAUAGACUUGCACUUGUGAGCUCCGUAGCUGAUGAUUGUCUUGGGUGCUUUGAUCCUGAAGUAGCCGUUCUUGUCCGUUUUGCCAACCACAUUGAGUGGAUACUUGGUGUUGUUGCACUGCAAUUUCAGAGUCGCCCCUGCAAUUGAACCCAUGGACAAUAUUAAAAGAAUAAAAAAAAAUUUAAAUACUAGGGACUUCAAAAAGAGAGCUUGAAAAAGGAAAAAGUAGCUAGCUAUGCUGCCAUAACCAUGCCUCCUACUGAAUGUGACAUAAACCUAGAACAAAGAGAAAGAAAGAGAUCAAGAGCACCUCUCUCUCUCUCCAUUCAAAAUCUGGAAAUGUAUACAUCACGCAUCCAUGAAAACAAAUGCACAUUCGCAUCCAUACGUAUGUUAUGUAUGCAUGAUAUCUAACUAAACAUACAUGUGAAAUUAAUUGAAGUAAUAAUGAUAGAAAAAAAUCAAGUAUGUAAGAGUUUGGAGCAGGGAAAAUUAAGUUGAAAGAUUUCGAAACUGACCUAGAACAGCGGUAGCUCCUAGGAGGGUAUCAGCUCCUGCGUACUUGCAAGACUUGCAAUAAACGACGCCUUGAACUUCAACAAGGCUCCUAGGGAAACGAUGGGUGGGUGUGGGUGGGUGAGCAGGAGCAACGUGUGGUGGAGGUGGGUGAGCAGGAGCAACGUGCGGUGGAGGUGGGUGAGCAGGAGCAACGUGUGAAGGUGGGUGAGCAGGUGCAUGAGCGGGAGUGUGAGCCGGUGCAUGAGCCGGCGGGUGGGGGUGGUGGUGAUGAUGGUGGUGGCUUGGGGCGUGAGCCGGUGGGGCAGUAGGAGGGUGGCUGUGGUGGUGGUG
rnacentral:lncRNA from 1 species